rnacentral:rRNA from 1 species
AGCGAACGCUGGCGGCAGGCCUAACACAUGCAAGUCGAACGAACCCUUCGGGGUUAGUGGCGGACGGGUGAGUAACACGUGGGAACGUGCCUUUAGGUUCGGAAUAACUCAGGGAAACUUGUGCUAAUACCGAAUGUGCCCUUCAGGGGAAAGAUUUAUCGCCUUUAGAGCGGCCCGCGUCUGAUUAGCUAGUUGGUGAGGUAAUGGCUCACCAAGGCUACGAUCAGUAGCUGGUCUGAGAGGAUGACCAGCCACAUUGGGACUGAGACACGGCCCAAACUCCUACGGGAGGCAGCAGUGGGGAAUCUUGCGCAAUGGGCGAAAGCCUGACGCGGCCAUGCCGCGUGGAUGAUGAAGGUCUUAGGAUUGUAAAAUCCUUUCACCGGUGAAGAUAAUGACGGUAGCCGGAGAAGAAGCCCCGGCUAACUUCGUGCCAGCCGCCGCCGUAAAAC